rnacentral:rRNA from 1 species
AUCCGGUCGACCUGCCGGAAUCCGACGCUCUCCCCAAGGACACAAGCCAUGCAUGCCCGCGCACCCGGGAGGCGGCGGACGGCUCAGGACAACGGUUGCACCCCCCGCGGCGGUCCCUGCUAGCCGGACACCGCUGGCAACCCGGCGCCAAGACGUGCGCGCAAGGGCGGGCGCCCGCGGGCGAGCAGCGUGACGCAGCGACGGCCCGCCCGGGCUUCCGGGGCAUCACCCGGUCGGCGCGGUCGCGCGCGCCGAG